CCGUGCUAGAUGGGGAGUUAGCGGUGCCCUGUAACCCGGAAUCCGCUAUACCGGGGUCGAAUUCCCACCUGAGGUUCUUUUGUCUUCUGGUGGGAGGUUGGGUGUGUGACGUUGAAGAUCAGGUCCUGCGCAACCCAAGCUCGCCGAACCCCGCCAGGACCGGAAGGUAGCAACGGUAGGUGAAUCCUUGAGUGUGCCGCGGGAUAGCCUGGUUGGAGUUGGCUGCCCAAACUGCCUCAAAAGGCGGGAAUCGAGGGUGGGUGCACGG
rnacentral:SRP_RNA from 1 species